rnacentral:rRNA from 1 species
CUACCAGGUCUUGACAUCCCCUGACACUCCUAGAGAUAGGAAUUUCCCCUUCGGGGGACAGGGUGACAGGUGGUGCAUGGUUGUCGUCAGCUCGUGUCGUGAGAUGUUGGGUUAAGUCCCGCAACGAGCGCAACCCUUGAUCUUAGUUGCCAGCAUUCAGUUGGGCACUCUAAGGUGACUGCCGGUGACAAACCGGAGGAAGGUGGGGAUGACGUCAAAUCAUCAUGCCCCUUAUGACCUUACAAUGGAUGGUACAAAGGGCAGCGAAGCCGCGAGGUGGAGCCAAUCCCACAAAACCAUUCUCAGUUCGGAUUGCAGGC